AGAUUCUACGACUGCAUCGAGUGUGAUACGAUAUUUAUCCACUUGAGACAGUUAAAUUUUCAAAUUUAAAACAUUAGGCUCGCUGAUUGUUUUAAAUUAAAAUUUAACUGUCAAGAGGGGAUAAAUAUCGUAUUACACGAGAUUUGGAGGUAGAAUCU
rnacentral:sRNA from 1 species